rnacentral:misc_RNA from 1 species
CUUUCUUAACAACCCCAUUUAGAUCACAUUUCAAACGCCUUCAGACUGGUGGUCCUGUAGCUGCUUCCAAAUGGCUUUACGCUCCCUUCUUUUGGUGGCAAUCUUUCUUUUCUGCAUAGCACAGGUUUCAUCUGACGUCGAGAUUGAAGAGCAAAGCACCCAGCUGGUGAAAGGAGCUAACAGAAGGCUCUUGCCAUUCGUGGAUUGUGGAGGGUUGUGCAAGGUGAGGUGUAGUUUGCACUCGAGGCCUAAUGUUUGCACAAGGGCAUGUGGCACCUGUUGCUUUAGGUGCAAGUGCGUGCCUCCAGGCACCUCUGGAAAUAGAGAACUGUGUGGGAAAUGUUACACUGACAUGACUACUCAUGGGAACAAGACUAAGUGCCCUUAGAAUGGCAUUGGCACCUAUAUCUUAUAUAGUGUAUACUAUAGGAACUUCUCUUUUGUUAACGUGCUAUUAUAUAAUAACCAGUUGGGUUUAUGGAUGUUCUGUUGUGCAAUGUUAAUGUAAGGAAGCUUCUCGAUGC